UACGUAGGGGGCUAGCGUUGUCCGGAUUUAUUGGGCGUAAAGAGCGUGUAGGCGGCCAUGUAGGUCCGGUGUGAAAACUCGAGGCUUAACCUCGAGAUGUCAUCGGAAACCAUUUGGCUAGAGUCCGGAAGAGGAGAAUGGAAUUCCCGGUGUAGCGGUGAAAUGCGCAGAUAUCGGGAAGAACACCCGUGGCGAAGGCGGUUCUCUGGGACGGUACUGACGCUGAGACGCGAAAGCGUGGGGAGCGAACAGG
rnacentral:rRNA from 1 species